rnacentral:rRNA from 2 species
CAUAUGCUUGUCUCAAAGAUUAAGCCAUGCAUGUCUAAGUUCACACUGUUUCACGGUGAAACCGCGAAUGGCUCAUUAAAUCAGUCGAGGUUCCUUAGAUGACACGAUCCUACUUGGAUAACUGUGGCAAUUCUAGAGCUAAUACAUGCCUCUGAAGCUCCGACCCUCGUGGAAAGAGCGCUUUUAUUAGUUCAAAACCAAUCGCCGUUCGUCUUCGGGCGGGCGGUGUCCCCAUUGGUGACUCUGGAUAACUUUGUGCUGAUCGCAUGGCCUUCGUGCCGGCGACGCAUCUUUCAAAUGUCUGCCCUAUCAAAUGUCGAUGGUACGUGAUAUGCCUACCAUGUUUGUAACGGGUAACGGGGAAUCAGGGUUCGAUUCCGGAGAGGGAGCAUGAGAAACGGCUACCACAUCCAAGGAAGGCAGCAGGCGCGCAACUUACCCACUCCCGGCACGGGGAGGUAGUGACGAAAAAUAACAAUACGGGACUCUCUACGAGGCUCCGUAAUUGGAAUGAGUACACUUUAAACCCUUUAACGAGGAUCUAUUGGAGGGCAAGUCUGGUGCCAGCAGCCGCGGUAAUUCCAGCUCCAAUAGCGUAUAUUAAAGUUGUUGCAGUUAAAAAGCUCGUAGUUGGAUCUCAGGUGCAGGCGGACGGUCCGGCUCGCGCCGGUUCACUGUCCGUAUUUCCUGCCCUACUGGUCUGCCGGCUCUCUCCCGUGGGUGCUCUUCGCUGAGCGUCCCGGGUGGCCGGCGCGUUUACUUUGAAAAAAUUAGAGUGUUCAAAGCAGGCCUCGGCUGCCUGAAUAAUGGUGCAUGGAAUAAUGGAAUAGGACCUCGGUUCUAUUUUGUUGGUUUUCGGAACUGGAGGUAAUGAUUAAAAGGGACAAACGGGGGCAUUCGUAUUGCGGCGUUAGAGGUGAAAUUCUUGGAUCGCCGCAAGACGAGCUACUGCGAAAGCAUUUGUCAAGAAUGUUUUCAUUAAUCAAGAACGAAAG